GUUGUAUGGUUAAGUGACUAAGCGUACACGGUGGAUGCCUUGGCAGUCAGAGGCGAUGAAGGACGUAGUAACUUGCGAUAAGCGUAGAUGAGGCAGUAACAGCCACUUGAGUCUACGAUUUCCGAAUGGGGAAACCCACUGGCAUAAGCCAGUAUCAUUGAGUGAAUACAUAGCUCAAUGAAGCGAACCGGGAGAACUGAAACAUCUAAGUACCCCGAGGAAAAGAAAUCAACCGAGAUUCCGAAAGUAGCGGCGAGCGAAAUUGGAUUAGCCCUUAAGCUUUACAUGUGUUAGACGAACGGUCUGGAAAGUCCGACGAUACAGGGUGAUAGUCCCGUAGUUGACGAUGCAUGUUCAGUGAAAUCGAGUAGGGCGGGACACGUGUUAUCCUGUCUGAAUAUGGGGGGACCAUCCUCCAAGGCUAAAUACUCCUGACUGACCGAUAGUGAACCAGUACCGUGAGGGAAAGGCGAAAAGAACCCCUGUGAGGGGAGUGAAAUAGAACCUGAAACCGUGUACGUACAAGCAGUAGGAGCACCUUCGUGGUGUGACUGCGUACCUUUUGUAUAAUGGGUCAGCGACUUAUAUUCAGUGGCAAGGUUAACCAUCUAGGGGAGCCGUAGGGAAACCGAGUCUUAACUGGGCGCCAUAGUCUCUGGAUAUAGACCCGAAACCGAGUGAUCUAGCCAUGGGCAGGUUGAAGGUUGAGUAACAUCAACUGGAGGACCGAACCGACUAAUGUUGAAAAAUUAGCGGAUGACUUGUGGCUAGGGG
rnacentral:rRNA from 1 species